GCCACCUGCUGCAUCAUGAAGCCUGCUGAGUUCCUGUUGCUGCUGCUAGGUGCAGCAUUGCUCCUGACCUCCAGAGCCAAUGGCGACAUCUGCCCGGCUGUGGAGCAGGCCGUGCAGCUGUUCCUGUCCGGGUCCCCUGAUGACUAUAUUUCCAACAUGGGAAGGUAUGUCAGCGACCCAGCAGUGCUGGCUAAUGAGGCAGCACUGAAGAAAUGUGUGGACAGCAAACUGACCGAGGAGGACAAGCAACAUGCCAUGAGUGCCGUGAACAAACUCUUCUCCAGCACUCUUUGCUAAGGGAGCCCUUCCAGGGGUGCACUGCCUGAGAAGCCGGCAUCCCAUCGAGGCACAUACUUGAGUCCCAGCUGCUCCAUUUCCAAUCCAUCUUCCUGCGGAUGUACCUGGGAG